rnacentral:rRNA from 1 species
CCUACGGGAGGCAGCAGUGGGGAAUAUUGCACAAUGGGGGAAACCCUGAUGCAGCGACGCCGCGUGAGUGAAGAAGUAUUUCGGUACGUAAAGCUCUAUCAGCAGGGAAGAAAAUGACGGUACCUGACUAAGAAGCCCCGGCUAACUACGUGCCAGCAGCCGCGGUAAUACGUAGGGGGCAAGCGUUAUCCGGAUUUACUGGGUGUAAAGGGAGCGUAGACGGCAGCACAAGUCUGGAGUGAAAUCCCGGGGCUUAACCCCGGAACUGCUUUGGAAACUGUGCGGCUGGAGUGCAGGAGGGGUAAGCGGAAGUCCUGGUGUAGCGGGGAAAUGCGUAGAUAGUAGGAGGAACACCGGUGGCGAAGGCGGCUUACUGGACUGUAACGGACGUUGAGGCUCGAAAGCGUGGGGAGCAAACAGGAUUAGAGACCCGGGUAGUC